rnacentral:rRNA from 1 species
UCAUGGGCGCAGGCCUGAACCAGCCAAGUAGCGUGAAGGAUGACUGCCCUAUGGGUUGUAAACUUCUUUUAUAAAGGAAUAAAGUCGGGUAUGUAUACCCGUUUGCAUGUACUUUAUGAAUAAGGAUCGGCUAACUCCGUGCCAGCAGCCGCGGUAAUACGGAGGAUCCGAGCGUUAUCCGGAUUUAUUGGGUUUAAAGGGAGCGUAGAUGGAUGUUUAAGUCAGUUGUGAAAGUUUGCGGCUCAACCGUAAAAUUGCAGUUGAUACUGGAUAUCUUGAGUGCAGUUGAGGCAGGCGGAAUUCGUGGUGUAGCGGUGAAAUGCUUAGAUAUCACGAAGAACUCCGAUUGCGAAGGCAGCCUGCUAAGCUGCAACUGACAUUGAGGCUCGAAAGUGUGGGUAUCAAACAGGAUUAGAUACCCUGGUAGUCCAAGGGCGAAUUC